rnacentral:tRNA from 1 species
GCUCUCUUAGCUCAGUGGAACAGAGCGUUUGGCUACGAACCAAAAGGUCACAGGUUCAAAUCCUGUAGGGGGCU